rnacentral:rRNA from 1 species
UACGGGGGGGGCAAGCGUUGUUCGGAAUUACUGGGCGUAAAGGGCUCGUAGGCGGCCAACUAAGUCAGACGUGAAAUCCCUCGGCUUAACCGGGGAACUGCGUCUGAUACUGGAUGGCUUGAAUCCGGGAGAGGGAUGCGGAAUUCCAGGUGUAGCGGUGAAAUGCGUAGAUAUCAGGAGGAACACCGAUGGCGAAGGCAGGUCUCUGGGCUGUAACUGACGCUGAGGAGCGAAAGCAUGGGGAGCGAACAGG